AUUGAACGCUGGCGGCAGGCCUAACACAUGCAAGUCGAGCGGAUGAAGGGAGCUUGCUCCUGGAUUCAGCGGCGGACGGGUGAGUAAUGCCUAGGAAUCUGCCUGGUAGUGGGGGAUAACGUCCGGAAACGGGCGCUAAUACCGCAUACGUCCUGAGGGAGAAAGUGGGGGAUCUUCGGACCUCACGCUAUCAGAUGAGCCUAGGUCGGAUUAGCUAGUUGGUGGGGUUAAGGCCUACCAAGGCGACGAUCCGUAACUGGUCUGAGAGGAUGAUCAGUCACACUGGAACUGAGACACGGUCCAGACUCCUACGGGAGGCAGCAGUGGGGAAUAUUGGACAAUGGGCGAAAGCCUGAUCCAGCCAUGCCGCGUGUGUGAAGAAGGUCUUCGGAUUGUAAAGCACUUUAAGUUGGGAGGAAGGGCAGUAAGUUAAUACCUUGCUGUUUUGACGUUACCAACAGAAUAAGCACCGGCUAACUUCGUG
rnacentral:rRNA from 1 species